rnacentral:lncRNA from 1 species
UAAUAUUUUUGUCUUUAUUACUUUUUCUUUUAAAACCCUGAGCCAUGUGAUUCAGGAUACAAUAAAUUCAUGAAACACAGUGAGGGAACAAAGUAGGAAGGCAUUUUAUUUAACAGUGCUUUUUUUUAAGAAGUUUUAUCUUGCUUGUUAAAGUAAGAUGAGAAGUUUUCUAUUAACUAGGCUGGGAAGCCUUAGGGGCCACUGAAAGCUUUUUAAUUGCAUAUUUAAUUAGAAAUGUGCUGGAGAGCUGGUGUUCAGCUUUUCUGAAGCUCAUGGCUCCUGACAAAAUGUCUGCUUUUAAGCCAUUUUGUCUCUUGAAAUGUUUUCUAAAAAGUAGGUUAAACAGAAAAAGCUUUAAUUUUGGCUAUUUUCACUUCAAAGGGAUUGCAUUGUUUUCUCAAACCUACUAUAAAACCAAGGUGAAAUGACAUCUUUAAAAGUAAGCGUUUUCAGGUAAAAUAAGACUUCUAAAAGACCAAUCUUUAAGGUGUCUAACAGUUUAUUGUUAUUCUGCCUAGCUCACCAGCAAGGCUGGAAGAUUGAAGAGAAAAGAAAGAGGAGGAUUAUGUUUGACCGCUACAGCACCCUGCUUUUGCCUCGCAAAGAGAAGGACAGUCUGCUUUACAGAAUCUGCAGGGAGUCAGCGAGAGUGGGAAGCCUUUCCUUUUCCAAGCACAGACAACUGUCAAUAUCUAACGAGGCACCUGCUCCUAUCUCACGGUUUCUAUAAAACCCCCAUUUUGCAUGAGCUGACAGCUCGUGGUAUGAAAGGCAGCAGUUUCCUCACAUUCAAGAGCUCAGCAGGAGUCUGACAAGGUAGGAUACUACCAUUAGCUGAUCACCAGUCAGUAAGUGCCGGGGAUGCUGCUUCACACAAAGAGCCCAACAUUGUCUUUUUGCAAGAUAGCAGAUCUUGAGCUGGCAGGAGCUCGGUGGUGUACUCCCACCUCCCACAUUACCUGAGUCAUUAGAAUUGCUGAAGAUUUCGUAGCAAGGCAAACGUAUAUGGAUGUGUGUGUGUGUGUGUGUAUAGGUAUAUCUAUAUAUGGAUCUAUGCUUCAGGAUGUGUUGUAGUAAUUGCUUUCAAAUCCACCUGAUUUAUAUC